CCUACGGGUGGCAGCAGUGGGGAAUAUUGCACAAUGGGGGAAACCCUGAUGCAGCGACGCCGCGUGAAGGAAGAAGUAUCUCGGUAUGUAAACUUCUAUCAGCAGGGAAGAAAAUGACGGUACCUGACUAAGAAGCCCCGGCUAACUACGUGCCAGCAGCCGCGGGAAUACGUAGGGGGCAAGCGGUAUCCGGAUUUACUGGGUGUAAAGGGAGCGUAGACGGAAGAGCAAGUCUGAUGUGAAAGGCGGGGGCUUAACCCCCGGACUGCAUUGGAAACUGUUUUUCUAGAGUGCCGGAGAGGUAAGCGGAAUUCCUAGUGUAGCGGUGAAAUGCGUAGAUAUUAGGAGGAACACCAGUGGCGAAGGCGGCUUACUGGACGGUAACUGACGUUGAGGCUCGAAAGCGUGGGGAGCGAACAGGAUUAGAUACCCUUGUAGUC
rnacentral:rRNA from 1 species